UUAGCUCAGUUGGUAGAGCGUCUGCCUUACAAGCAGAAUGUCGGCGGUUCGAUCCCGUCA
rnacentral:tRNA from 1 species